UAGCAAACUUUAUUUCUGAUGGUACAUCUACUAGCUCAGGACUUUUGCAAUAUAACUUUCUAGAAUAAACUUCAUGGCUAUGUUUGUUGACCAGAUUAUUUUAUAUUCUUUUAUGUUAUUAUAUGGCUUCAACAUUAGUAAAAAUACGGCCAUGAAUCAAAAUAGUCAUUCUACUACUUGGUUUUGCAUUUUAGUAGAUGGUCUUGAUGAAAUUAGUGUUAUAAGAAAAUCCAUAGACAACGAAGAACAUUGGACUAGAAAGAAAAGGUCUUAAAGGUUCUUGUGAGCACUACAAGUUCUCAGGAGUCAAUUCGUUCCGGGACCAGGAGUGCCAUGUUGGUUUUGUGUGGAUGUUUGUAUUAUGACGAUUUUGCAUGUCUUUGAGCACUACAUAGUACACAAGCAUGAAAUACUUGUAGUAUACCAGAAAGAGAACACUUAAAAUUAAAAUAAUUCGGUUCUUCACAUACGAAAUCCAUCGUUUUUUUCCUCAUAUUUGGUUAGAGCACAAGAUACAGUGUGUUAUAUGUAAUGUUGAUAAACUGUUCUUGUGUUGGGUUUGUUGGAGUAUGUGAUAAGAAACCUAAGAAAGGAUAAGAAAAGAUAUUAUCUUGUUUCUUCUAGCUGAUGUAGACUUUUUUUUUAUAUAUAUUCUAGCUGAUGCAGACCUUGUUUCUAACAAGAAACUUCAUGGCUAUGUGCCUUAUUCCUUCAUGUCCUAUUUAGGCUUAACGUUAGUAGGUACAGUAGUAUACCCUGAUCCGUUGGUGGUUUGGGUAUUGCACGUUAAUUUUUGUAAUGUUUCCAGAUGUGAGAUUUACUGAUAUUUAUUACCACUAAUGUUAAACUAUGAACUCCAUGAAAAUAAUUGUUCUCUGAUGGAAUAAAUGACAUAAAUUUGUAAGGUUUCUUAAUAUUGGUGAGAUUCCUUUCUUCUUGGUAAAAGUACGAGCUCAUCAAUGGUUAUGCUGCAUUAGUUGGUGACUUGGUGUUGACAUUGAACAUUCAUAGUCCUCUAGAAUAAUUUUAGGACAUUAGAGCAACCAUAGCAAUGCCAUAAAUUUGGGUAUUUAGAACAUAUUUACAGCCUACUCUAAAUUGUGUUACACAGCUUUACAGGCCUUGCACGUCUGCAGAGCAUGUGCAAAGUCAGACGCUCUACAAUCGGGUCUCUAUUUUUUCUGCAUUUCUCAUUUCGCUGAAUGACUUGUGGGUGCUGGGGUCGGUAAGGAUGGACGGCUCAAGAGGUGUGUUCGGCGGUGACAGAGCGGAGGCGUCACACCACAUGGUGGCGCUGAUUUCUUCUUGCUCAAGAUGGAGGUGAGUGCCUUCACGCGCGGUAGCAGUGGGCAGAGAAGCGACAGAUUUGCCAGACGCAGCCUCGCCCUUCCCAUUGUCUUCUGCACUAAAGCCGACGUGAAGGCUGUGGCUGCGGUUGGCCAGCGUCGUGAUGGCAGCAGCCGCCAGGGGUACCUUCUAGUGUUGAGAAUGUGACCCUAGGACCUCUAGGCCAUUGUAGAAGCAAAGUUUGCUCCACCAAAACUUGUUAACAAACAAUUUGAUGCCAAAUUAUGCUUGCCCGAUAAUGAAAUGUGCAUUACCUGAAUAAAACUAGAGAUGUGAGGUACAAAAUUAUCAACCUAUGUAUAUUACAGCAGUGCUAAAUGCUCCCUAUUUCGUUGAUCUGACAUAAGAUUAUGUACUUGUCCAGUGUGAUUUCCAGAUUAAAGGAAGGGCUGCAGAAGCAGGAGUCAAUUCUAUGGUAACCUGGACAGUAAUGUGCUUAUAUCUUUUUCAUGGAUAGAAUGCGAAAAAUUGACUCUUUGAUCACCAUAUAGUAUACAGUUUUGCUGAAAGGCAAGCGACCAAGUACAUGACUGUUGCUCGGAUGGCUGCACCCAAUUGGUUCAUCUCCGUUAGCGCAGCCCCUUUUAGAGGUGAGGUACUCAUCUUUAGAUCGGAGAACUGGCAAAAUACCAAAUACAUCAGAGCAGUUCAUUAAUCAUUGAAAAGUAACAAUAAAAAUGUUGUGUUUUCAAGAAAUAAUAAAGUGAUCUGUGUUUUGAGUCUAAGAAGCAAAGUUAAAUGUGUAUAAUUUCCAUUUACUGCAAUUUGAAUGUUUACCCUUAUGUUCAUUCGAAAAUUAUGGCACGGUUUAAUCUUUCAUGGUUCUGCUAGCUUACUUACAUAAAUGUAUUUUUCUUAUAUGAACAUAUGAUGCAUGGUUAGCUUAGUUGGCAAUUCAUAACUACAGCUAUGUUUGGCAAACAAGGUUAUAUUGAAGCUUGGACAUACCAGAGAAUCAGAGAACCAAGCCGAUGGGAUGUAUGUACCAGGAAAUCAAAGAAUCAGCCUACAAGCAUCUAUUUUGUCCACGGCGAUCACCGCACCGGGAAUGUAAAAUAUAAACCAUCUAUCUACCACUGCCACAAGUAUCUAUGUUUGCUUCAUGGAAAAACACUUAGUUAAUUUAAAUCACUGUUAUCCUACUGUAAUAUCGACAAUCGCUCUAUAAUUUUAAGUACCCUUUUGGUUU